CAGGAUUAGAUACCCUGGUAGUCCACGCCCUAAACGAUGUCAACUGGUUGUUGGGGAUUUACUUCCUCAGUAACGAAGCUAACGCGUGAAGUUGACCGCCUGGGGAGUACGGCCGCAAGGUUAAAACUCAAAGGAAUUGACGGGGACCCGCACAAGCGGUGGAUGAUGUGGUUUAAUUCGAUGCAACGCGAAAAACCUUACCCACCUUUGACAUGUACGGAAGAUCGCAGAGACGCGAUUGUGCUCGAAAGAGCUAACACAGGUGCUGCAUGGCUGUCGUCAGCUCGUGUCGUGAGAUGUUGGGUUAAGUCCCGCAACGAGCGCAACCCUUGCCAUUAGUUGCUACGAAAGGGCACUCUAAUGGGACUGCCGGUGACAAACCGGAGGAAGGUGGGGAUGACGUCAAGUCCUCAUGGCCCUUAUAGGUGGGGCUACACACGUCAUACAAUGGCUGGUACAAAGGGUAGCCAACCCGCGAGGGGGAGCCAAUCCCAUAAAGCCAGUCGUAGUCCGGAUCGCAGUCUGCAACUCGACUGCGUGAAGUCGGAAUCGCUAGUAAUCGUGGAGAAUGUCACGGGAAUACGUUCCGGGUCUUGUACAC
rnacentral:rRNA from 1 species